CGGGAGGCAGCAGUGGGGAAUUUUCCGCAAUGGGCGAAAGCCUGACGGAGCAAUACCGCGUGAGGGAAGACGGCCUAUGGGUUGUAAACCUCUUUUUUCAGGGAGGAAUUUUGACGUGUACCUGAAGAAUAAGCAUCGGCUAACUCCGUGCCAGCAGCCGCGGUAAGACGGAGGAUGCAAGUGUUAUCCGGAAUCACUGGGCGUAAAGCGUCUGUAGGUGGUUGAACAAGUCAACUGUUAAAUCUUGAGGCUCAACUUCAAAAUCGCAGUCGAAACUGUUUGACUAGAGUAUAGUAGGGGUAAAGGGAAUUUCCAGUGGAGCGGUGAAAUGCGUAGAUAUUGGAAAGAACACCGAUGGCGAAGGCACUUUACUGGGCUAUUACUGACACUCAGAGACGAAAGCUAGGGUAGCAAAUGGGAUUAGGUACCCCAGUAGUCCUAGCCGUAAACAAUGGAUACUAGAUGUUGAACAGAUCGACCUGUGCAGUAUCAAAGCUAACGCGUUAAGUAUCCCGCCUGGGAAGUAUGCUCGCAAGAAUGAAACUCAAAGGAAUUG
rnacentral:rRNA from 1 species